rnacentral:rRNA from 1 species
CAGCCGCCGCGGGAAUACGAAGGGGGCUAGCGUUGUUCGGAAUUACUGGGCGUAAAGGGCGCGUAGGCGGCCAUUCAAGUUAGAUGUGAAAGCCCUGGGCUCAACCUAGGAAUUGCAUUUGAUACUGUUUGGCUUGAGUUCGGGAGAGGUGAGUGGAAUUCCCAGUGUAGAGGUGAAAUUCGUAGAUACUGGGAAGAACACCAGUGGCGAAGGCGGCUCACUGGACCGACACUGACGCUGAGGCGCGAAAGCGUGGGGAGCAAACAGGAUUAGAUACCCCCGUAGUCCCUGUCUCUUAUAC